rnacentral:snRNA from 1 species
GUGCAAAAUCAUGACUUUGGCUUUCUGUCUGGUACCUCACUGACUGCCACAGUUGAAAAGGCUGAUCAGUCUGGUUAUUUGGUUGUCUGCUCCGUUUCUUUUUGUCCCAUGUGUGUUUUUCUGGAAGGUGAGUGCUCUGUGGAAAAGGGUGACCUUUCACGGUAGUGGAAUGCCUGCUUCAGAGAGAGUGUACGGCUGGUUGCGCUCCCAUUAGAUCCCCCAAACGGGCUCUCAAGGUCCAAACAUGGCCGUGCAGAAUGCAUCAUUCGUUGUUAAUGAUUCCAAAUCAGAGGCAUCGGAGAUGCUGCAUACACAACUCU